GGAAUAAAACUUGGGUUUAUUCAGACCGUGUCCUUCCCUUUUGAGGGGCAGAGUGAGGGGUAGUGGGGGUGGAGGGAAGCUUUGGGUUCUAGGGACAUUGCUGAUUGCCAGCCUUUUCUGUGUGAGCUUUGGAGCAGUGAAGAUGGUGAUGAAGGGGCCCUAGGAUCAAUGUGAAACAGAGACCAAUCCCUUGUCCAGCUGUCCUUCUUCUCUCCAGGAAUUAAGGAGGAGAAGACUCAUAGUAAAAGAAAAAAAGGCUGAAAGUGGAGGGUGACUCAAGGACUGUCUCCCGUAGUGGCUUGCAGACUCACUGGUGUUGGCACGCCUGUCUGUACAUAUCAUAGCCUCCACUGGUAGCCAUAAGCCCCCGUCCUGUUCCUGUGCUUGGGUAGGCACCCACCUCGUCCGGAGCCCAGGGGAUGGGUGGGAGGUGGUGGUGGGAGGUUGAGGGGCUCACUGAGCUGCUGGCUGGAAGUGGCUGCAGGGCAUAGGCGCCAUCCCUGCUUCUGCCAGGCCCCCGCUGAGCUCGGCUGGGCUGCGCAGGAACUGCCUCAUCAAGGGGGAGGUGUGGAGCCCGAGGUGGGGGUCUGGGCCCUUGGUUAGCUCUGUGGGCUCCGUGACCAUGGUGGGGAAUGUGAGUGCUGUGUUCCCACACUGGUUCACCCUCUCAUGCUGCUCAUUCACAGUUCUUGUGGCUCUGUAGCACUGGGAGCCACCUGGCCCAGUCUGCAGCUCCAGAAUGCUCUUCUGCCGCCCAGUGGGCAGGGGGCUGGCUGAGGCAGGAGCAGGCUGGGGCUGUCCAGAGCACUCGGUGGCCUCCCUCUUCCUGGCCUUGUCCUGGACAUCUUUCUGGUGGAGCUGAGCUUGGCCCACAUCCUGGCUGAGGUGUGUGCUUUUCACUGAGACAUCAGGGCUGCCCUGAGGUCUGGGAGCCUCUGGAAGUUUCCUUGUGGCUGACUCGAUAGAGAUGAAGGUUGGGGAGGAGGGUGAAUGUCUGCUGGGAGGUAAUACUCGAGGGAGGCCCCAAUCUUCUCUCAAUGUGUCCAGCCUCCUGGUGGUAGAGGUGGGCAGGGAUGCUUGACUUCUUGCCUCAGUGGGACUUCUGACCUUGGCUUGACUCCAGAUCUCAGUAGGG
rnacentral:lncRNA from 1 species